rnacentral:rRNA from 1 species
GCUCAUCACAUCCUGGGGCUGAAGCAGGUCCCAAGGGUACGGCUGUUCGCCGUUUAAAGUGGUACGCGAGCUGGGUUUAAAACGUCGUGAGACAGUUUGGUCCCUAUCUUCUGUGGGCGUAGGAGAAUUGAGAGGGCCUGUCCCUAGUACGAGAGGACCGGGAUGGACGCACCCCUGGUGGAUCUGUUGUCGCGCCAGCGGCACAGCAGAGUAGCUAUGUGCGGAAGGGAUAACCGCUGAAAGCAUCUAAGCGGGAAGCCUGCCUCAAGAUAAGUUCUCCCUGACGCAAGUCCUGAAGGGCCGUGGUAGACCACCACGUUGAUAGGCUGGAGGUGGAAGCCCCGUGAGGGGUGGAGCUGACCAGUACUAAUAGCCCGUGAGACUUGUCCC